rnacentral:rRNA from 1 species
AUGACCUACGGGACGCAGCAGUGGGGAAUAUUGCACAAUGGGGGGAACCCUGAUGCAGCGACGCCGCGUGAGUGAAGAAGUAUUUCGGUAUGUAAAGCUCUGUCAGCAGGGAAGAAGAAAGACGGUACCUGACCAAGAAGCCCCGGCUAACUACGUGCCAGCAGCCGCGGUAAUACGUAGGGGGCAAGCGUUAUCCGGAUUUACUGGGUGUAAAGGGAGCGUAGACGGCAGGGCAAGUCUGGAGUGAAAGGCAGGGGCCCAACCCCUGGACUGCUCUGGAAACUGCCCGCUUGGGGUGAGGGGGG